UCAAAUUCAUGGCCUCGAGCUAUCCUCCUGCACUAGCCUUCCAUAGCCCUGAAAUUACAGGUGUGGGCCCCCAUGACCAGCCUAAGGUUCUCUCUGAUAAGUGCUAUUUCCUCCGCAGCCUUCCCAAAGCUUUGGGGGGUACACACUUUCUUUGCCUACCGUUUUCUCCUCUAGUGUGUGCAUUGACUGAAAUCACCCACUAGAUGGUGCUGAUAUACUAACUUUGGUUUGCUUUGGCAUCUACCCGGUGAAUUAAAAAUUUACUUUAUACAUCAACAAACCAAAAUCUCUACAUAAAUCUCAGCUUGUAAGAAUCAUAUACUUGUAAAGAUUUUUUUUUUUAAAUUCAGGGUGAACUCUGGAGGCUUAGUUAUCUUGCUUAAAAAUGCAGACCAGCCUUCUAUAAAUUUACCAGCUGAGGCUCUUCUAUGGCCAUGAGCAAUCUCAACACUGUGUGUGUAUCUGCUCCAGGGUGAGAUGGAAAUUAUUAGCGGCUUUUUCUCUGAGUGUAUAGCUCAAUGGGCUUGUGAGAGCCCACCAGCUCUCCAUAGCUUCUGCUUACUGCUCUGUGAAAGGAGACGCAGAAUACAGACUCGGCUCACAGCUCAUGUGAGGAUAGAACAGGGUAUUCUAGUAGAUCUGAUUACUCUCUGAUUUCCACUUCUUUCUCUUAUUGCCUGUCACAAAUGUCUAUAAAAUCAUCAUUUUGGAAAAGUAUCACACCCCUUUAUAACAACAAUAAUAACCAACCUCUAUAUAGCCUUUUGUGGUUUACAAAGCAUGUCUCUCUCA
rnacentral:lncRNA from 10 species